rnacentral:rRNA from 1 species
GUGGGGAAUAUUGGACAAUGGGCGAAAGCCUGAUCCAGCCAUGCCGCGUGUGUGAAGAAGGUCUUCGGAUUGUAAAGCACUUUAAGUUGGGAGGAAGGGCAGUAAGUUAAUACCUUGCUGUUUUGACGUUACCGACAGAAUAAGCACCGGCUAACUUCGUGCCAGCAGCCGCGGUAAUACGACGGGUGCAAGCGUUAAUCGGAAUUACUGGGCGUAAAGCGCGCGUAGGUGGUUUUGUAAGUUGGAGGUGAAAUCCCCGGGCUCAACCUGGGAACUGCCUCCAAAACUGCAUGACUAGAGUACGGUAGAGGGUAGUGGAAUUUCCUGUGUAGCGGUGAAAUGCGUAGAUAUAGGAAGGAACACCAGUGGCGAAGGCGACUACCUGGACUGAUACUGACACUGAGGUGCGAAAGCGUGGGGAGCAAACAGGAUUAGAUACCCGGUAGUCC